CCCUUAUUCUGUUUGUUUAGGUUUUCACAAUCUUUGUUAUGCUUACAAAUACUCGCACCAAAAUACUGUGUUAGCACAAAGGAGCCAAGAUUGGCAGUGGUGGUUGAAAAUAAAGUUUAGCUGCAAGUAAAAAUUAACCUGGUGUCUGUUUACAUAAUCUAGGCAGAAUCCAAAAAGUAAACACGGAGUAUUAUGAAAUAGCAAUUAAACUGCCAGAAUCAUUCACUACUAAUAGUCUAAUAAUAUUAAGGAUUUUUUAAAAACAGCUUUUCAGUCUGGCACCCUCUCUACUCGGGAAUGUUCUGCUUCCAUCCAAAAAUGCAAAAAUGCAUUACGUGUGUCAGUAGCUUAACCAAAGCAGAGGAAAUAUUUGAAGAUAUCUGAAAUAUAAAUUAUGUAAAAUAAACCUGGCACGCCAGGCAAAGCAAGACUGUCUCGUGGAGUUGUCAAAGUUAGUCUUUACAUCCUGAUCUGGGGGAGCUCCCUUUUGUACAGGCAAAAUGUACUGCCAUUCACUAAAAAAGUAAAUACAUUCCCCUCGAGAAGAAGUGGGAAUAAUUUUCUCAAAACAGUAUUAGAGAUAUGGGAGCUAAAAAUAAAUAAAUAAAACAAUAGACUCUGAGUGCUUGUGUCUUGUAGAGGAACAGAAGUCUGGUACCCAAAGAGAAAACAUAAUUGCUCUGUCCUGUCUGUGUUUGGAUAUGUGCUAUCCAGAGCAUCAGCAGUCAGUGGCAUUUUUUAGCAAUAGGAUUUCACCACUUUUGAAACGUAUUUCAAAUUACUAAUUAGAAGAAAGCUUUCUUAUGGGAUGAUCCAAUAGGUUUCCCGUCUUCUUCAGGAUGUCGGGACAUGACAGGAAAAGCUUGCCUGCUUCUGGAGGACAGUAGUAAAGAAAUCAUCAGGCAGCACAGCUGGUGAGAAAGCAUCCCAUGUUGGGGCAGCACGAUGCAGCUUGCGUCAGGCAACAGUGUGGAAUGGAUGAGGAGAACUACCACACCAACUGUUGCAGCCACAAUAAGAAUUUCAGAAGGUCUUGUGUUGUAGGGAGGAAAGUGCAUUUUCCUUACAUCAGCCAGUGUUACUGGAUUAAAAAUAAGCAAGUUGUUUUUGGUCAUGGAAGCCAUGUGAGUUUUGAAGUACAAUGUUAUCUUCAGUUCUAAUAAUUGUUAUGCUUUGUAUAGCAGUCCAUUACAUGACCUGUGUUAAUGCAGCAAAAAGAUUUACUUCUGCUUCUUAUGUGUUGAUUAUAAUAAUUUUGUUUCUACACAUUAUCUUGCACUGAUUUAACUGUCACCUUGAUUUGAAACCGUUUAAUUAAGGCAGCAUGAAAUCAGUGCGACAACCCAUUUGAAGCAGAUUUAUUCAAUUUGGCCAAACCCAGGAAAGCUGUGAUUCAAGCUGAGCUGAAAUAGGUUGUUCUAAUCUGAUUUCACAGAGGUUUUGUAGCAAUAUAACUGCUUUGGUUGGUUAGGCUUGGGGCUUGAUCUCUCUUUUGCUCAAACACUUGUUUGAAUACAGCCUUUCUUGUGGACAUGAGCAUAGUGUAGGGAGGUACCGUACAGUGGCACAGUUCAUUCCCUGUGGCUGUGGUUGUGCUAACCAAACACUGCAGAAGUGACACCUGUCCCCAGAUGCUGAGGGGUGGCUGUGGCUGCUGGGACUGUGAGUAGCUGCCAUCCCACACCAGCACUUCCAUGGCAGCACGAGUUCCUCAGGCAGAAAAGCCCUGCCAGCAGGCCAUUCUAUCCAGUUGGGGAACAUCCUUACACAGGAGAGGAAGCGCUUGUUUUACCCACGAUGUAUGGGUAAAAAAGAUCUCAAAGCUAAAGCAGCUUUGCUAGAGAGGCUAGGCUGAAAUAGGCAGACUCAGCUGCCAAGGACUGAAAUUACUGAAAACAUGUCAAUAUAUGGGUAAGUUCUAUGCACAUGCUUGCACAGGUUACAUAGAUCUAUUUAAAUUGAUUUAGUGCAUGAUUUGAGUUUGGUCAUAGUUGCCUCAUGGCUCAGAGUCUGCAAUCACUCCUCUCUUAAGAGCAUUACUGGCAGUAUGAUCUCUUGGCGAGGAGGAGUCUGAUCUCAGGGUUGGAUGUAAUUCAUGCCCAGUGUGAGACACAUUAGCCAAGGCCACUGUACAGUGCUGCUCCUGUUACUGCAUGCUGCCUUUGAAACCAAGCACAGCAUUACCCUCAACAUUGCCCAAGGCCAAAGGUGGCCUGACUCAGGGGAGCAGCAUCCGUCCCAGCAGCAUCAGCUGUUUUCCUCGGAGCUGCCUAUGACAUUAAUGAAUGAAGUCUCAUUAUUUAUCAGUCAAAUAAGCAUGGCUAAUUCUCUACUGAGAGCAAAACAUGAAGCUCCCAUGUGACAUCUCCCUCCUCCUGGCAGACAGAUGGUGAUACAGGUGGCACUACAGAACCUGCAGGGAGAGCAGGCACUACAGAACCUGCAGGGAGAGCAGAAGGGGUUGUGCCUUGGGGCCUCCAGGCAACAUCCCAGGGGGAAGUGAGUGAGGCAGCCUGGGGGCCCCAGCUAGGAUGUCUCCAUCUUCACCUUGGAGCUCCCCUGCUGCCACAUCUGUUGGUAUUCCUGGCUGAGAAUAAGAAAUGGAAGGAACAGCUUUUAAAAAUAUUUCUUCAGCUGAACUGCUGUUCAUUCAGAGAAGGGGGAUGCAUGCAUGUCUCAGCCUCUUCAGUCACUUUUUGCCAGCAGGGCAGGUUCCUGGCUCCCAGGAUCUCAGAGGAGGCAGUGGCAGGGGGGUGUCAUGGAGCAGCCACCUUCCUGGCUGAGACUUUGGGGGUGCCCCUGGUUGGAGGAUAAAAGCCCAAAUGGGUGAUGGGGCUCUAUUUUGACAGUUGAAAUAGCAUUAAUGUUUGCUUUUAAAGGUAAAUACCCAAGUCAGUUACAAGGCUUUCUUUGUUAUCCAAAAUCUCUGAAUUCAGAAGGUGACGCUUCCACAGCAGUGUCACAGCAACCACAGCUGUCUGGGAGUGCAUCCCUGGGCAACUUUUCCAUUUCAUUAUUCAUGUAGCCUGGCUUGCUUCCUCCCCUGUGCUGGGAAGAGCUCUUUGUAUGUGUGUGAGCCUAUAUGCAAAUGUAUAUGAAAGAGUGAGCAUAUAUAGAUGUUACAUUUUUCAAAUAAAGCGGCUGGAAAGCACUAUGCUCCAAAAGACAAUUACCUCCACCUCCAUUUUGCCAGUGCCACCAUAGACAUCAGUGUCCCCAGCAGAGUUAAGGCUGUGACCACCUCCUGCUCCUCAUGCUGCUGAGGCAUACAUUUCUGGCAGCUCCAAUAUCUGUUUGUGGAUGCUCUGGCUGCUGCAGAGCUGCUGGGUGGCAGAUGACUCCACUCCUGGGACAAGCAUGUCACAUCCCCCAUCUCACUUCCCCUCAGGGAGUUUCAGUGACUUACAGUAAGGGGAUGCCUCCCUGAGGAGGUACAUCUGGGGGUAUCAGUCAACCAGUGGUACCACGUGUGAUUGGUGCUGCCUGCAAGCAGGUAAAUUAUUGCAUCCUGAGGGAGCUGCACUAAUACAACUUAGCAUCUCGUUCACGUCUUUGAAAGGUUUCACAAAUAUUAGCCAUGCUAAAACAUUUCUAUCCAUACUCUGUGGAAGCCAACCUAAUUCCGUAGUCCAGGUAUCUCAUUUUUUUCUCAUUUUACACUCAGUAUGGAGACCAAAUUAGUGCAGACGAAGCAGGGACAAGCAUUGCUCUCCUCCCCCAGGCACACUGUGGCUGUGGUUGGGGCUCUGCUGCCUGCCGGCAGCCUCCAUCACUCAUUCCUCCUGACAUCUCCAUUUUUCUCUCUCGAAUGAACCACCUGCGCGUACAUGAAAUGGCACUUAAUGGUUCUCUGCACUACCUCCUUCGCCUUGACAUGAUGCUGCUUUGAGCGUGUGUAGUGGUGACGUGUAACAUUCCUACAUAAAAGCAUUACAUUUGUAUAGCGUUUUAGAGUGCCGCAUAUAUUUAUAUAUAUAUAUAUAAAAAAAUAAUCCACAGAGCUUGAGUUCUGGAAGGAAGCAGUUUAAAUCCGAGCCAUAGUCACUGCAUCUCUGCAGCACUGUGCUGUCAGUGAAGGCAGCUCCUUGCCCUGACUUACCUACUUGCUGGUGGCUGCAGCGGUGUUUUUGAAGCUGGGUGCCAGCUGUGUUUUUCAGACGUGGAAGCUAUUUAGCAGCUUGUAGCUAAAGCGUGUGUGAGACAGACGGUAACUCAAUCUGAUGUGAGGAGUCACCAUUCUGCUUCUGAAUCACGCCUCAACCCUUUGGAGAAAGUAAUCAUUAGACUAGUGUAAGGAUAGGGGCGCUUAGCAUGAUGAUGAAACUCAAAGCUGGAAAGAUAAGAGAUUAAAGAUAGCGCUUGCUCAUCAGUCAAGACAUCUGGGUUUGGUUUAUGGCACACAUUCCUCAGCAUCUGUACUGGAGACUGGAGGAUUUCCUUCUUUUCCUCGGCUUUUGUUCCCUCAUCCUGUAUCACAGCCACCCGUCCCUGCAGAUGCCGUGAACCCAGCCAUAGGACCACCAGUCUGGGGCCAAAAACCUCUCAUUCUCAUGGUUUUUGCAACACAGUGAAGCAGUGCACAGGAUCUGCCAACCCAACUGUAUCCAAAAGCCUGGGAGGGGUAGCUGGCAAGCCUGUUCUGGAGCAAGCACUGCUGAUAGAGAGCCAAACCCCAGUAUAAACAUUGCUUGCACUCUGACUUCAUUUGACAGAAUGGGGAUUUGAAUAAGACCCGUAUGCCCAGAUGACCCAGUGGCACAGGGAGCUGACAGCUUAGUGAGUGUGGAUGGCUGAAACAAUGCCGGGCACUCUAUGCCACUGGCAGACAUCUGUGCUUAGGGACUAUAUCAAAACACUGGGGCUGGUGAGAGGCAGAGAUUUGUUCCUUCACUCAUCUCUCGGCAAGGCUGCUAGUGCAGUCUCACAUCAAGCACAGGGUGCAGGUUUAGGUGCAACCACGUAAGAAGGACAUAAAACUGUCACAGAGCAUCCAAAGGAGGGCUCUGAAGACGGGGAAUGGUCUGGAAGGUAAGGUGCAUGAGGAGUGGCUGAGGUCCCUGAGUUGGUUCAGCCCAGAGCAAAGAGAUUAACAGAGGCCUCAUGGUGGCUGCAGCUCCUCACAGGGAGUGGAGGGGCAGCGCUGAGCUCUGCAAUCUGUGACAGCGACAGGGCCCGAAGGAAUGGCAUGGAGCUGUGUCAGGGGAGGGGCAGUGGGGGUUAGGGACAGGGUCUGCACCAGAGGGCGGUGGGCAUAGCCCCAAGCUGUUGGGAGUUCAAGGUGCGUUUGGACACUGCUCUCAGAGACAGGGUUUGGAUUCUGGGUGGUGCUGUGUGGAGCCAGCGGUUGGACUCAAUGGUCCUCCUCUCUUCCAACUUGAGAUGUUUUAUUAUUCUGUGAUUCUCUGAUUGCAUCCAUAGCCUCUCUGGAAGCGUGUGCCCUGGAUUUUCACUGUAUAUUUUGACUUUUAGCAUUGAAAAGCAAGCACAAAAUGAUGCUAAGGGAUAUACAAAACAUGUAUGAAAGAGUAUAUC
ensembl:lncRNA